UACGGAGGGUGCGAGCGUUGUCCGGAAUCAUUGGGCGUAAAGGGCUCGUAGGCGGUCUGUCACGUCGGGAGUGAAAACUCGGGGCUUAACCCCGAGCCUGCUUCCGAUACGGGCAGGCUAGAGUUCGGUAGGGGAGACUGGAAUUCCUGGUGUGAGCGGUGAAAUGCGCAGAUAUCAGGAGGAACACCGGUGGCGAAGGCGGGUCUCUGGACAGUUCCGUGACGCUGAGGCACGAAGGUCAGGGGAGCAAACGGG
rnacentral:rRNA from 1 species